rnacentral:rRNA from 1 species
AGAGUUUGAUCAUGGCUCAGGACGAACGCUGGCGGCGUGCUUAACACAUGCAAGUCGAGCGGAAAGGCCCUUCGGGGUACUCGAGCGGCGAACGGGUGAGUAACACGUGAGCAAUCUGCCCUUAGCUUCGGGAUAGCUCCGGGAAACCGGAAUUAAUACCGGAUACGACCGCGGUCGGCAUCAGCCGUGGUGGAAAGAUU